CGUCCAGACUCCUACGGGAGGCAGCAGUGGGGAAUAUUGCACAAUGGGGGAAACCCUGAUGCAGCGACGCCGCGUGAGUGAUGAAGUAUUUCGGUAUGUAAAGCUCUAUCAGCAGGGAAGAUAAUGACGGUACCUGACUAAGAAGCUCCGGCUAAAUACGUGCCAGCAGCCGCGGUAAUACGUAUGGAGCAAGCGUUAUCCGGAUUUACUGGGUGUAAAGGGAGCGCAGACGGCAGGGCAAGUCUGAUGUGAAAGUCCGGGGCUCAGCCCCGGGACUGCAUUGGAAACUGUCCGGCUAGAGUGCAGGAGAGGUAAGUGGAAUUCCUAGUGUAGCGGUGAAAUGCGUAGAUAUUAGGAGGAACACCAGUGGCGAAGGCGGCCUGCUGGGCUUUUACUGACGCUGAGGCUCGAAAGUGUGGGGAGCAAACAGGAUUAGAUACCCCGGUACC
rnacentral:rRNA from 1 species